rnacentral:rRNA from 1 species
CCUACGGGAGGCAGCAGUGAGGAAUAUUGGUCAAUGGACGAGAGUCUGAACCAGCCAAGUAGCGUGAAGGAUGACUGCCCUAUGGGUUGUAAACUUCUUUUAUAUGGGAAUAAAACGAGUCACGUGUGGGAUUUUGUAGGUACCAUAUGAAUAAGGACCGGCUAACUCCGUGCCAGCAGCCGCGGUAAUACGGAGGAUCCGAGCGUUAUCCGGAUUUAUGGGGUUUAAAGGGAGCGUAGAGGGAUUGUUAAGUCAGUUGUGAAAGUUUGCGGCUCAACCGUGACACUGCAGUUCAAACUGGCAGUCUUGAGUACACUAGAGGUGGGCGGAAUUCGUGGUGUAGCGGUGAAAUGCUUAGAUAUCACGAAGAACUCCGAUUGCGAAGGCAGUUCACUGGACUGCAACUGACACUGAGGCUCGAAAGUGUGGGUAUCGAACAGGAUUAGAUACCCGGGUAGUC